UACGUAGGCAGCAAGCGUUGUUCGGAGUUACUGGGCGUAAAGCGUGCGCAGGCGGUUUUGUAAGUCUGUCGUGAAAUCCCCGGGCUUAACCUGGGAAUUGCGAUGGAGACUGCAAGGCUGGAGUCUGGCAGAGGGGGGUAGAAUUCCACGUGUAGCAGUGAAAUGCGUAGAGAUGUGGAGGAACACCGAUGGCGAAGGCAGCCCCCUGGGUCAAGACUGACGCUCAUGCACGAAAGCGUGGGGAGCAAACAGG
rnacentral:rRNA from 1 species